CCAUUGAUAGUGAUAUUAUUUUCUGGAAGAUCAGAUGAAUCUCAUAGAGUUCAGACAACAUUAUUAUUAUUUUUAUUUUUAUUUUCUCUGACUUGUCUUUCCUUCACUUUCUUAGUAUUAUAUGUCUGUUUGAAAGUAUGACGUAUGCGCUUUGGUUUCUAACAAUUAAUCAAGUCGUUAAAAAUAAAAAACAAAAAAAUAAAAAAAUAUUUCCAUCUAUUUGUUAAAUAUUAAAAAAAGCUAUUUUAUGGACUUUGCUAUAAGUUGUCUUUCUUUCCAUUGGCUUGAUGGUGGUUGCUUUCUUCAUCGACGGCGUGGAGUCUAGAGGGACGCUCCUGCUUCUUCCUGCGGGCUCUAGCUGAUGAAAAUUCUUAACGAUGUAUUAACAAUUAACAAUAUAAUAAUAUUUUGGAG
rnacentral:lncRNA from 1 species